AAGGUUCCUAUAUAAAGAUAAAACUAGCUAUACCAAGUGCUUCAAGGAUAAUGUGACUGGCUUCAACUGCGUAGGCGACGAUCAUUGAUCUACUUCGGCAGCACUAUAAGAAAAGGGAAAGGAAAAAGGGUAAGCAUGGGAGCUUCGUAAGUACAUAUAUGUAAAUAAGUGUAAUUAGAAACACAUUCGUCAAAUAAUGGUUUAUCAUACUUAAGUGAUAUAUCAUUUUAACCUCACUAUUUUGCUCUUCCUUCUUUU
rnacentral:lncRNA from 1 species